UAAUGGGUCAGCGACUUAUAUUCUGUAGCAAGGUUAACCGAAUAGGGGAGCCGAAGGGAAACCGAGUCUUAACUGGGCGUUAAGUUGCAGGGUAUAGACCCGAAACCCGGUGAUCUAGCCAUGGGCAGGUUGAAGGUUGGGUAACACUAACUGGAGGACCGAACCGACUAAUGUUGAAAAAUUAGCGGAUGACUUGUGGCUGGGGGUGAAAGGCCAAUCAAACCGGGAGAUAGCUGGUUCUCCCCGAAAGCUAUUUAGGUAGCGCCUCGUGAAUUCAUCUCCGGGGGUAGAGCACUGUUUCGGCAAGGGGGUCAUCCCGACUUACCAACCCGAUGCAAACUGCGAAUACCGGAGAAUGUUAUCACGGGAGACACACGGCGGGUGCUAACGUCCGUCGUGAAGAGGGAAACAACCCAGACCGCCAGCUAAGGUCCCAAAGUCAUGGUUAAGUGGGAAACGAUGUGGGAAGGCCCAGACAGCCAGGAUGUUGGCUUAGAAGCAGCCAUCAUUUAAAGAAAGCGUAAUAGCUCACUGGUCGAGUCGGCCUGCGCGGAAGAUGUAACGGGGCUAAACCAUGCACCGAAGCUGCGGCAGCGACACUAUGUGUUGUUGGGUAGGGGAGCGUUCUGUAAGCCUGUGAAGGUGGCCUGUGAGGGUUGCUGGAGGUAUCAGAAGUGCGAAUGCUGACAUAAGUAACGAUAAAGCGGGUGAAAAGCCCGCUCGCCGGAAGACCAAGGGUUCCUGUCCAACGUUAAUCGGGGCAGGGUGAGUCGACCCCUAAGGCGAGGCCGAAAGGCGUAGUCGAUGGGAAACAGGUUAAUAUUCCUGUACUUGGUGUUACUGCGAAGGGGGGACGGAGAAGGCUAUGUUGGCCGGGCGACGGUUGUCCCGGUUUAAGCGUGUAGGCUGGUUUUCCAGGCAAAUCCGGAAAACCAAGGCUGAGGCGUGAUGACGAGGCACUACGGUGCUGAAGCGACAAAUGCCCUGCUUCCAGGAAAAGCCUCUAAGCAUCAGGUAACAUCAAAUCGUACCCCAAACCGACACAGGUGGUCAGGUAGAGAAUACCAAGGCGCUUGAGAGAACUCGGGUGAAGGAACUAGGCAAAAUGGUGCCGUAACUUCGGGAGAAGGCACGCUGAUAUGUAGGUGAAGCGACUUGCUCGUGGAGCUGAAAUCAGUCGAAGAUACCAGCUGGCUGCAACUGUUUAUUAAAAACACAGCACUGUGCAAACACGAAAGUGGACGUAUACGGUGUGACGCCUGCCCGGUGCCGGAAGGUUAAUUGAUGGGGUUAGCGGCAACGCGAAGCUCUUGAUCGAAGCCCCGGUAAACGGCGGCCGUAACUAUAACGGUCCUAAGGUAGCGAAAUUCCUUGUCGGGUAAGUUCCGACCUGCACGAAUGGCGUAAUGAUGGCCAGGCUGUCUCCACCCGAGACUCAGUGAAAUUGAACUCGCUGUGAAGAUGCAGUGUACCCGCGGCAAGACGGAAAGACCCCGUGAACCUUUACUAUAGCUUGACACUGAACAUUGAGCCUUGAUGUGUAGGAUAGGUGGGAGGCUUUGAAGUGUGGACGCCAGUCUGCAUGGAGCCGACCUUGAAAUACCACCCUUUAAUGUUUGAUGUUCUAACGUUGGCCCGUAAUCCGGGUUGCGGACAGUGUCUGGUGGGUAGUUUGACUGGGGCGGUCUCCUCCUAAAGAGUAACGGAGGAGCACGAAGGUUGGCUAAUCCUGGUCGGACAUCAGGAGGUUAGUGCAAUGGCAUAAGCCAGCUUGACUGCGAGCGUGACGGCGCGAGCAGGUGCGAAAGCAGGUCAUAGUGAUCCGGUGGUUCUGAAUGGAAGGGCCAUCGCUCAACGGAUAAAAGGUACUCCGGGGAUAACAGGCUGAUACCGCCCAAGAGUUCAUAUCGACGGCGGUGUUUGGCACCUCGAUGUCGGCUCAUCACAUCCUGGGGCUGAAGUAGGUCCCAAGGGUAUGGCUGUUCGCCAUUUAAAGUGGUACGCGAGCUGGGUUUAGAACGUCGUGAGACAGUUCGGUCCCUAUCUGCCGUGGGCGCUGGAGAACUGAGGGGGGCUGCUCCUAGUACGAGAGGACCGGAGUGGACGCAUCACUGGUGUUCGGGUUGUCAUGCCAAUGGCACUGCCCGGUAGCUAAAUGCGGAAGAGAUAAGUGCUGAAAGCAUCUAAGCACGAAACUUGCCCCGAGAUGAGUUCUCCCUGACUCCUUGAGAGUCCUGAAGGAACGUUGAAGACGACGACGUUGAUAGGCCGGGUGUGUAAGCGCAGCGAUGCGUUGAGCUAACCGGUACUAAUGAACCGUGAGGCUUAACCUU
rnacentral:rRNA from 1 species